UGUAGCUCUCUCUCUCAAAAUAAACAAAUACAUAAACAAAUAUUUAAAAAAAACAAAACAAAUAAAACAAAACAGUGGCAUCCAAGUAAGGAAAAUGCCCUGGAAGUUAAGGAUAACUAUAGGACCAUAGUUGGUGAGGUUUCAUAGCUAAGGAUAAAAGGAAUAGUGGACUUGUGAUUAUUUUGUGAAUUCAAGUUAAAAAAAAAAAAGAAAGAAAAGAAAAAAGAAAAGAAAAGAAAAGAAAAGGAAAGAAAAGGUGAAUAUCUAGAUUCCCAAAGAAAGAAAGUAAUGGCAGAGAUUUACAUUCAUAGGAAAAAGGAGGAAGCAGUGAUGCAGGAUAUAAGGAACAACUGGAAAGUAUAAAUUAGAAGAAGCAGAAAAAUAAAGAGAGGGAGAAUGUGAUGUCAUUGAAUCCGGGGACAAACCAGGAGUAUAAAGGGACAAAUAAUGAGUUUUGUAUUUUUUUCAAAGAUCUCGAAAUGUCUGAGAGCAAAUACAGUCAAAGGGAUAUUAGAUAUUAGGUAUGUUAAGUAUAGGAACUUGAGUCACGGGGUGGUAGGGUGCAGAACUAGCUGUAAAGGAGAUGGUUUUAGACAAGAAUAAGGACACUUUUCCCCACAGACACCCGGAAAGAGAAGAUAAUUGUGAGAAAAGGAUAAGGAGAGUAAAAAAAAUGUAUAAAAAUUGAAGCAUCACAUUCUUUUUGAUAGAAUAGGUGGAGAUGAUAUGCCAAGGAAAGGAUACGACAGCUGGGACUGGGGGCAUGGUAAGAGAGAAAAGGUCUAAAAUAGCUCCCACAGGGAGAGAGCCUGGGAGUACAGAAAAGACAAUUAAAAAGACUGCCAAAUAGCAGCAGAGAGCAGAUUGAAGUUUGAAAGCAUCCAGUUCUAAUGAGCCAAAUCUGCAAUGCUGUUUGCCUCUAGCAGCGCUCUCUCUCCUGGGAAAAGCAGCAGAGGGAGCAAGAGGGAGAGGUAACACAGGUUUUAGGAAUUUGCUGGACUAGCAAAGAAGCAAAGGUUAUUAAUGAAGAGGCAAAUCUCAUGCUCCUCGUUGGGAGUGAAAAUCUAACUCAUUUGUAGCAAGGAUGGCAAAAAUGCCUGAGUCUUAUCACUGAGGGGCACUUCCAAGGAAGUGGGGAAAGUAAUUAUUGUGAGUUCUGAGCCAAAAGCUAAAACUUUCAAGGAAAUUAGAAAGAUUCUCAUUUCUCACCACCACCACCAUCACUCCUGCGGAGACUACAGGAAUGGGAAGAAGCAAAACCUAAACGAGACCAGAAGACUCUUAUCAGAGGACUGCUACAAAUAUUCCUGACUUAUCGUUACAUAUGCAAUCAUCAUAACAGUAAUCUUCACUUUCAAAGUGGUAUCAACUUAAUAUUACGAA